rnacentral:antisense_RNA from 1 species
CUUGAUCGACCCCAGCAGCAGCGGCUCGUCCCGGUCCUGACCGUAGGUCGCCAGCAGCGCCUGCGCCUC